CACGGGGGGGAGCAAGCGUUGUUCGGAAUCACUGGGCGUAAAGGGCGUGUAGGCGGUCAAGUAAGUGGGAUGUGAAAUCCCCCCGGCUUACCCGGGGACCGGCAUCCCAUACUGCUUGGCUUGAGUACGGGAGAGGAUGUGGGAAUUCCUGGUGUAGCGGUGAAAUGCGUAGAUAUCUGGAGGAACACCGGUGGCGAAGGCGGCGUUCUGGACUGUCUCUGACACUGAAGAACGAAAGCCAGGGGAGCAAACGGG
rnacentral:rRNA from 1 species